UGGAUUUCUGAGAGUUUUUCUAUUAUCUUAUCCUUUUUAGUUGUGGGUUGUUCGGCAGUUGCCCCUGCGUAUGAAAUCAUAUCUUCUUCAUUCUUGGCCACCUUUUGGAGAUCUUCCAUUCUUUUUAUUAGUUCUAUAUUUCUAACUUGCUCAGUCUGGAGUUGUUUUCCUAGAAGGAGUUUCUGUUCAUUAUGCUUGAUAAUCGGGUCUUGAAGAGCUGCCUUUUCUGCUACAAUUUCUAUUUCUAGAUGAGGAUUUUCAUAUAUUUCUGCCCAUUUCGUCUUGAGUUUUUCUAAUACAUUGUAUUUAUGUCCGAGGUAUAUCUGGGCAUCUUUGUAUGUUGCUGACAGAGAGCUAUAUAUAUAUAUAUAUAUUGGGUUUUUCUGAGAUUUUGUAUAAUGGAUAAUUUUAGUCCAUUCUUUGUAUAUCCGCUUAUUAUCUCCUGUAAACAGGAUAUAACAUAUCUCGUUAUUAUGGAUAUGGAGAUAUAGGGAGAGUCCAUUAAGACAGGCUAUCUGAUGUUUAAUAUCUCCCCGUUUAUAGGCUAAUAAGUAUUCUUUCUGCAGAUGUCAUGAUCGUAUUCUCCGCCAAGUUGAAUUUUUGACCAGAGCCGUUAUAAUCUGUGAAGGAAAGUUUACCCGAAAGCAUAAGUGGCUUUCCUGUAGGCUUCUAGAGAUUUUUUGCUCCUUCUGGAUAUUCUUUUGAGGGUGUAUGAGGGAUUAUAGCUUUUGUUGUAGAUUUUGGUCGAGAAGAUUCAAGGAAUGUUUCUUGUCGUCGAGUGGUCAUUCUGAAAUUAAUAUCCAUUAGUAAUUUUUCCUCAAAUUGUAGCAGUCUAUCUGCGAUUUUAUUAUUUUCUCCUGAAAUGUGUUCUAUAUGGGGUUUUAAUCUCUUUCCAUCUAUUAAGAGAAGACAUUUUCUUUUCCGUUUUCAUUCUGUUCUAAUAUUUCACUAUUGUGAUACAAUCAGUUCUUAUGGUGAAUUCCUUCCCUAAUAUAAAAAGUUCGAAUGAUUCUAGCCUUGUCGAUGAUCGUGUCGCUACUGCUAUCCUUUAAACGCACUUUCUUGGUAUUUUGGUCUUCAAAAGAAAGAUCAACGCCACCGCCUUCCUCACUCAUUAUUCCUAUAAGUAUUUAAUUCUUUAAUUACUCAAUUCAUUUUUUAAUUUUGUAUGAACCGAUUGCACAUAUUUGGUUUGUAUUCAUUCAUUUUGAUCCUUUUAUUUGAGAUCAAUUUAAUGAGGAUUUAUGGUUGUACAUCGUAGUUCAUGAAAAUCUUUUGAGUAUUUAAAUCCAUACUCUAUUUAAAUACGAGUAUGUGUUUAACACAAUUAAAUACUUAACUCAAAUUUGAAUAUAUGUUUAACAUGAGAAACGUAACACUCUUCACUUGUUUCGAUAUUCGUUAUGGAUGGGAGAUGAUAUUGUAGCAUGUAAAUUGCAAAAAUCUAGAAAAUAUUUAAGAAAUAAAACUUUGAAACAAUUUAAUUAAAUCAUAAAAUUUAGAUAAAAUUAAUUUGAAGCCUAUAAAAUUAUUUGGAAACUUUUGGUGGAUAAAUGGAAGUGCCUAAGCUCAAUUAUGAGCUUCGGUGGUCUUGAAACACUAAAAAUAGUGUAGUGGUACUGGAUCAAAGAUCAUGUAUCAAUACAUAUACCCCAUGUUCUGGUACAUUGAGAAAUGUAUCGAUACAUAAACCCUAUGUUUUGCUAUUUUUACCAGAAAUUAUAAUUUUUUAGCUAUUGACUUUGUAAUAUUGUUUCGAUACUUUUAGUGUAUGGACUAGAACCUUGACUCUUGGGAUUAAAAAUCAAUCCCAAAACAUUAAAAUUCAUGUCUAAACACUUCCAAAUCAUAACAAAUCGUUGUAAAACAAUACUUAAACCAGGUCAAACUCACAAACACAAUUAAGUUACAUAGCGGAUCAAGGCUCAGCUAACAACACCAAAGGGGUUGAAAUUAUAAUUCAAAUUUACCAAUACAAAAUCUAAAUGCCAAGAUUAUAAUAGCAAUGAUAGUAAAAUUAAAUGAAUUGCAACCUCGAAACUUGAAUGGUAAUGCAAUGCUCCCAACUUGAAAUCUCAAGCUUCGAACACAAGUCUUUAAGCUACGUGUUUAAACAACUAACACUUAAUAAUAAAUGAUUUUUUAAAAAAAAAAUUGUUGAUGUUUUGCUGUCAAGUAGUUUCGACCUUCAUUCUCUUAAAAAUUUUUAAUAAAAAAUUCAUAUGAUAUUAUCGUUUCUUUCAUUACCAUUUAGAUUCAAUAAACUUUUUAUAAAAUUUUUAACAAUUUUUCAAAGUGGAAAUAAGGAAUACUAUCAGCAAUUUCCACAUUUCCUCACUAAAACAAAUUUAUUUGUUAAUGUAAAAUUUGGAUGGAAGUUACACUUUUAAUCGAUUUCUAUAUAUUUUGGAAAACUUUUCAAAAAUGCAUCAUGCUGCUGUCACCAAAUUGUUUUAGUGAGUUUACGACUAGUUUAACAAUACACAUAUUUUCUUAUAACUAUUUAUUUCACUAAUUAUCCAUUUCAAAUUCUCAUAAUUAUCAAGUAAGGGAAAUUAAAGGACAAAAUCAAAAUCAAGUUUCUCACUCUCACAAGUUUAAAAGCUUUCUCUUUUACCAUAUCCAUUUUUUUAACACUCAAACAUAAACAAAAUUACCAACACAAGAGCUUUAGAAGCUUUUUCAUGCAAAUAAUCUCAAAUAAAUACCAUAAAAGUGAAGAGACCAUCCUCUCUCUUUUUCAUUCUAGUUUCAACUUCCCUUUCUACCAACUUGAAAAUCUCAGCUUAAAGAUGAAAAAAGAUGGUAGAAAGGUCUUGAAAGCAAGCUAUUACUAAGGUUUUUCAAAAGAAACUCAUGGGUUCUUUUGGAUUUUGCAAAAAUCUCACCUAGGGUUCAAAUGGGGGAUCAACGGAGAUUAUAAAGGAUGACGGAAAGGGAAGAAAUCAAGAUUUUUCUCCUCCCAAUUGUGCUGUCCAUUUUAGCAAGGGAAUAGGGGAAAUUUUCUUCUAUUUUCAACUCAUAAUAUAAUGUAUGAGCUCCCUUUAAAGUUUCCACAUCAAUGGUUCAUGUCAGUCAACAGUCAAAUGAUCUAAGGCCACAAAUAACUCCUCAAAAUGAUCAAACUAAUGGCUGAGAUUGCACAUAAGAUUUUAAAUUCAAUGGUCUAGAUUAACUCCUACACCCUCUUUAUUGAGAAAGUACCACUUUGCUAUUAAUGAAUUUCCAGCGUGGAUUUAAUCCAAUGACUCUUAUUAAACCCUAAUUUUAAAUUCUUCACCAUUAUUUACAUGGCUUAUUUCUCUAUAGGUCCUUGAAAAAUUUACACUUUUAUAAUUAUUCUACCUUCUGUCUUGGAAAGCAUCUCAACAAAUCCUUCCACUUCUCAAUUUAAUCCUUAUCACCUUAUAAAUCAUUUCGUUGACCAUUAGAGACAAUAAUCCAUUUCAUGGCAUGAUUGCACUUUUAAUCCUUAUACUUUUCACUUUUAUUCAUCCUAACAUUUUUCUCAAUUUUUAAAUCUCACAUGUCAAUAUAUUCUCCAUGUAUCAUUUAUAUAUAUAUAUAAAUUAUUAUACCACAUUAUUCUUUAUAUGGUAAAGUUACAUUUCGAUCAUUGUAUUUUCUCCAAAUAUCAAUUUAAUCUCUGUUUUUUUUUAAAUAUCAAACUCACGUUUAUCAUUACAAAUUUCCUUUUCCAAAUAUCUAAUUAGUUCCUUAAGAAAAACUCAUUAAAUAAACUCAUUCCGUACUGUAUACAUUCCUAGAACAAUAUUUAUAUGUGAUGGUCGCUGAACCAUGUAAAAUAUAUCAAACAUAGCUCUGAAACCUCCCUGAUAAUCCAAGCAACGUAUACAUAAAUUACACAGUAAGGUUUAGGGUAUUUUUUUAUACUAUUAGACAUUUGAGGUUUAAAUUUACGACUAAAUUGAUAAAAUAAUAUGAUGGAUACUAUAUUUGUUGAAAGGUCAACAAAGGUAGGAAGCAACUUGUUAAAAAGGUUGAGCAAGUUGCACCGAAUGUUGAAAAGUUGAAUGGGAUAAUUGCAAUUUUGGUCCCUAAUUUUUUAGGCCAUUUGCAAGUUAGUCCCUGAACUUCAACUAUAAAUAGGCCUUUUCAUUUUUCAUUUCAACCAUCCCAACCAAUCUUUCUCUCUUAGUUUUCUCUCGUCUCCCAUUUGAGAAUUCUUAAGGAAUUCUAUUUGUUUGUAAUAUUUUGGAGAUAGUAAAGUUAUCAUCUGGUGUUAGUGCCCGAGGACGUAGGUAUAAUUUACCGAAACUCGUUAAAACUCUUGUGUUCUUUCUUGUCCUAUUUUUCUUUCAAUAUUUGAGGGUAUAAUAGUAGUAUUUAAUUGUGCUAUUAAAUUACUAUAGAAGGGAUAUUCUGUCUAAGGAAAGACUUGGUAUUUAAGAGAUCCAUGUGAUCUACCUCUCUUUCCUGGGAAUUGAACUUUGUGUGAUUUUUUAGUACAAUAAUUUACACGCUUCCGACCCUAUUGGAACAACAAGUGGUAUCAAGAGCCGAAGGUUAAUCGUAGUAUGCUCUGUGGUUGCAGUUUAAACUGAUCUUCCACAUCAGAAAAGAUUUCCUUAGGUAUAUUGAAAGAUUAUGGAGAAAACGGUCGGUGUAGGAGCUUCAACAUCGUCCAUGUGGACAAGACCGACAAUUGCAAAUGCAAGACUGGCCGUGGAGAUCUUUGAUGGCACGGGCCAUUUUGGUAUGUGGCAAAGUGAGGUUCUAGAUGCCUUUUUUCAGCAGGGUCUAGACAUUUCCAUUGAUGAAGAGAAACCAGAUGAUGCACAGGAGAAAGAUUGGAAGGCGGUCAAUUGGUUGGCAUGUGGCACAAUUCGAUCAUGCCUUUCUCAAGAGCAGAGGUAUGCUUUUUCAAAGGAGACUUCUGCAAAUAAGUUGUGAGUGGCACUUGAAGAAAAUUUUUUUAAGAAAAACAAUCAAAAUAAGCUCCACUUGAAGAAAAGACUGUUUCGCUUCACAUACGUCCCAAGUACCACAAUGAAUGAUCACAUCACCAAAUUUAAUCAGUUAGUCACUGAUUUGCUGAAUAUGGAUGAGACAUUCAAAGAUGAAGAUUUGGCUUUGAUGCUGUUGGGGUCACUUCCUGAGGAGUUUGAGUUCCUAGAAACUACUCUACUUCAUGGCAGGAGUGAUAUAUCUCUGAGCGAAGUCUGUGCGGCCUUAUACAGUUAUGAACAGAGAAAGAAGGACAAAUAGAAAAACUCAAUCAGAGAUACAGAAGCUUUAGUAGUCCAAGGUCGUUCAUACACUCGGAAGAAAACUCAAAAGGGGAGAUCAAAGUCAAAGUCCAGACUCGGGAAAGAUGAAUGUGCUUUUUGUCAUGAGAAAGGCCACUAGAAGAAAAAUUGUCCAAAGCUGAAGAAUAAGGGAAAAGCUGCUGUAGAUGCUUGUGUUGCUAAGUAUGAUACUAGUGACUCUGAACUAUCACUGGUUGCAUCAUCAUCGUCGUUCCAUUCAGAUGAGUGGAUAUUGGAUUCGGGUUGUACCUAUCAUAUGUCUCCUAACCGGGAGUGGUUCUCUGAUUUAGUAGAACUAAAUGGAGGAGUUGUUUAUAUGGGCAAUGACAAUGCCUGUAAAACUGUUGGGAUAGGUUCAAUCCAAUUAAAGAAUCAAGAUGGAUCAACCAGAGUUCUGACUGAUGUUCAGUACGUGCCCAGUUUGAAGAAAAAUCUCAUCUCAUUGGGAGCCUUGGAAUCCAAUGGUUCAGUUGUUACUAUGAGAGAUGGGGUUUUGAAAGUGACAUCUGGCGCACUUGUGAUAUUGAAGGGCAUCAGGAAAAAUAACUUGUAUUACUACCAAGGUAGUACAGUUAUUGGAGCAGUCGCUGCAGCUUCCGGCAACAAAGAAUUGGACUCAAUACAGUUGUGGCAUAUGAAGUUGGGACAUGCCAGCGAAAAAUCCUUGCAAAUUCUGGCAAAGCAAGGAUUGUUGAAAGGUGCAAAGGCUUGCAAAUUAAAAUUUUGCGAGCAUUGUGUUCUGGGAAAGCAAAAGAGAGUGAAAUUCGGUACUGCUAUCCAUAAUACAAAAGGUAUUUUGGAAUAUGUUCACUCAGAUGUGUGGGGGCCUUCCAAGACACCUUCAUUGGGAGGCAAACACUACUUUAUUACUUUUGUUGAUGACUUUUCCAGAAGAGUUUGGGUGUAUACCAUGAGAACUAAGGAUGAAGUGCUUAGAGUUUUUCUUAAAUGGAAAACUAUGAUCGAAAACCAGACUGGUAAGAAAAUCAAGCGGCUUAGGACGGACAAUGGAGGGGAAUAUAAAAGUGAUCCGUUCUUCGAUGUGUGCCAAGAGUAUGGUAUUGUUCGACACUUCACAGUUAGGGAUACACCACAGCAGAAUGGAUUGGCAGAGCGUAUGAAUCGAACAUUGCUGGAGAAAGUUCGAUGUAUGUUGUCCAAUGCUGGGUUGGGCAAGCAAUUUUGGGCUGAGGCUGUGACAUACGCUGGCCAUCUUGUUAAUCGUUUGCCAUCAUCUGCAUUAGAAAGAAAAACUCCUAUGGAGGUAUGGUCUGGAAAACCGGCUACAGAUUAUGAUUCCUUACAUGUGUUUGGAACCACUACAUAUUACCAUGUGAAGGAGUCAAAGUUAGAUCCGAGGGCAAAGAAAGCUCUCUUUAUGGAAAUCACUUCUGGAGUGAAGGGAUUUUGUCUUUGGUGCUUAAGCACAAAAAAAUGAUCUGUAGCAGAGAUGUUACCUUUGAUGAAUCUGCCACAUUGAAAAAGGUAGCAGAUAAAGAUAUUCAGACGAGCAAUACUCCACAGCAGGUGGAGUGUACUCCAAAACAGGUGGAGUUUGAGCAGAUGGGGAUUUGCCCAGUUAAUAAGUCUAAUUCUCCAGCCACAAUAGAGGAAUUAGAGGUUGAAGAGGUUCUGACCCAAGAACCACUAAGUACACCAGAACCAGUUGCAGUUGCAAGGCCACGGAGAGAAAUUCGUAAACCUGCUCGAUUUACUGAUAUGGUGGCCUACGCCCUUCCCGUUGUUGAUGAUAUUCCUAUCACUUAUCAAGAAGCAAUGCAAAGCUUAGAAAGUGAUAAAUGGAAAAGCGACAUGGAUGAAGAAAUGCAGUCUCUCCGGAAGAAUAAUACUUGGGAGUUGGCGCAAUUACCGAAAGGUAAAAGGGCAAUCGGAUGCAAGUGGGUAUUCGCAAAGAAAGAUGGAUCUCCUAGCAAGAAGGAUAUUCGCUACAAGGCAAGAUUGGUAGCUAAAGGCUACGCUCAGAAGGAGGGAAUUGACUACAAUGAUGUAUUUUCCCCUGUUGUGAAGCAUUCCUCCAUUAGAAUUUUGUUGGCCUUGGUAGCACAGUUGAAUUUGGAGCUAGCUCAACUUGAUGUUAAGACGGCUUUUUUGCAUGGUGAGUUAGAAGAGGAGAUCUAUAUGACUCAGCCCGAAGGAUACACAGAUGCUGGUGGUAGAAAUUGGGUUUGUAAGCUGAACAAAUCGCUAUAUGGAUUGAAGCAAUCCCCGAGGCAGUGGUACAAGUGAUUUGAUAGCUUUAUGAGAAGGCAGAAGUACACAAGAAGCAAAUAUGACAAUUGUGUGUAUUUGCAGAAGCUGCAUGACGGAUCUUUCAUUUAUCUACUCUUGUAUGUUGAUGAUAUGUUAAUCGCUUCGAAGAGCCAAAAAGAGAUAGAUAAGCUGAAGGUUCAGUUGAAUCAAGAGUUCGAGAUGAAAGAUCUAGGUGAGGCCAAGAAGAUUCUCGGCAUGGAGAUAAGUAGAGAUAGACAGAGAGGCAAGCUUUGUUUGAAUCAGAAGCAAUAUCUGAAAAAGGUAUUACAAUGUUUUGGUGUAAAUGAAAACACAAAACAUGUAAGUACCCCACUUGCUUCUCAUUUGAAACUUAAUGCUCAAUUAUCUCCGAAAACUGAAGAAGAAAGAGAAUAUAUGGCGAAAGUCCCAUAUGCUAAUGCAGUUGGGAGUUUGAUGUAUGCGAUGGUGUGUACGAGGCCUGACAUUUCACAAGCUGUUAGAGUUGUGAGCAGGUAUAUGCAUGAUCCUGGAAAAGGACAUUGGCAAGCUGUGAAAUGGAUUCUACGGUAUCUUCGAAAAACCGUAGAUGUUGGUUUAAUUUUUGAACAGGAUGAAGCACUUGGUCAGUUUGUAGUUGGAUAUGUUGAUUCCGACUUUGCUGGUGAUUUAGAUAAACGUUGUUCAACUACGGGAUAUCUGUUUACUCUUGCGAAAGCCCCAGUGAGUUGGAAGUCUACCUUACAGUCUACAGUAGCUGUGUCUACUACAGAGGCAGAAUAUAUGGCAAUUACAGAAGCUGUUAAGGAGGCUAUUUGGCUUAAUGGACUAUUGAAAGACUUGGGAGUUGUUCAAAGUCACAUUAGUCUAUAUUGUGACAGUCAGAGUGCUAUUCAUUUAGCGAAAAAUCAAGUCUAUCAUUCAAGAACCAAGCAUAUCGACGUAAGAUAUCACUUUGUGCGGGAAGUCUUUGAAAAAGGAAAAAUUCUACUUCAGAAGAUUCCGACAGCAGAUAAUCCCGCAGAUAUGAUGACCAAAGUGGUAACAACAAUCAAGUUUAAUCAUUGUUUGAACUUGAUUAACAUCCUGAGAAUUUGAGCACCUACAGGUGUAUGGCGCUCGAGAGCGCAUUUAGAGGCACUACAAAAUAUAACUUUAUCGAAUUUGGGGAGUUGAAGGAAGUGUGUGAAGAUGUGAUUAUCCUAAUCAAAUCUUCAAUGUGGAGAUUGUUGAAAGGUCAACAAAGGUAGGAAGCAACUUGUUAAAAGGUUGAGCAAGUUGCACCGAAUGUUGAAAAGUUGAAUGGGAUAAUUGCAAUUUUGGUCCCUAAUUUUUUAGGCCAUUUGCAAGUUAGUCCCUGAACUUCAACUAUAAAUAGGCCUUUUCAUUUUUCAUUUCAACCAUCCCAACCAAUCUUUCUCUCUUAGUUUUCUCUCGUCUCCCAUUUGAGAAUUCUUAAGGAAUUCUAUUUGUUUGUAAUAUUUUGGAGAUAGUAAAGUUAUCAUCUGGUGUUAGUGCCCGAGGACGUAGGUAUAAUUUACCGAACCUCGUUAAAACUCUUGUGUUCUUUCUUGUCCUAUUUUUCUUUCAAUAUUUGAGGGUAUAAUAGUAGUAUUUAAUUGUGCUAUUAAAUUACUAUAGAAGGGAUAUUCUGUCUAAGGAAAGACUUGGUAUUUAAGAGAUCCAUGUGAUCCACCUCUCUUUCCUGGGAAUUGAACUUUGUGUGAUUUUUUAGUACAAUAAUUUACACGCUUCCGACCCUAUUGGAACAACAAUAUUAAUCUAAAUACUUUUUUUUUAAUCCCAAAAGAAAAUCUGAACAACGAAAGUUGAUAUAUUGGUACAAAAAAUAUAUGUUCUUAGAACACAAUAAGAUUAAGGUUCAAUUGAAGUCACUGCACAUGUUUGAAAAUGUAGUGUUUAUCUGGCUUGUGGAUAGCACUUGGUCUUCCUACCACAACACCAAAAAUACCGAAAUCCCGACAAAAUUGAAAACACAGCACCACAAACCCCAGCUGCAAUUAUAAUUCCCAAACUCUUCCUACUUAAAUUCCCACACUUUCCAAGAGGACGCCCACAAAGACCACUAUUACCAGCGAAGUCUACCUUACUAUUAUUCUCAAAAGAUAAAGGAAUUGCACCUUUGAGAUCAUUAUUUGCUACAGAAAACCUCUUCAAACGUAACAAACCUGAUAACUGCUCUGGAAUUGAUCCCGAAAGUCUAUUAUUUGACCGUACCAAAUUAUUUAGAUAAGCACAGUUAGAUAAUUCAGAUGGGAUGGAACCUGACAGAUCAUUGCUAGACAGAUCAAGGGUUACCAAAUAAGGUAACCAACUACAUAUCUGUGCAGGGACUGUACCAGAAAGCCUGUUAGCCGACAGAUCCAAAGUCUGCAAACUCUGACAGUAUUGUAAAGAUUGAGGUAAUUGUCCUGAGAGUUUCAUGUCACGUAGCUGAAGACUUAACAGGCGAUCUUCUCGUUCCAUCCAACAUUCAACUCCAACAAGAUUGCAUAAAAAACCUGUUGAAUUGUUAUUGAAACUCCAGUUGCUUAACUUCCCAUCUGGGUCAUUUAGAGAAUUCUUGAUACCUUUCAGACAUUUUAUAUCAUCUUCUGUUACAGCUGAUGAAACAUGUCCUGCAAAAAGCGUCCGUGUUAGAAGAACAAAUCUGAAUAUCUUUAAACUGCUGGGACAUGAUCCCUUCAUAGCUUAUCACAAGCAUAAACUAAAACCCAGAGUUUUAUUUGCGACUUAUAUCAGAUAAACAACUUUGGAGUGCUUCAUGAGAUAAAGUCUGCCCUUUAUUUGGUUUGUUUUAAUGACAUGGGAGGAAGCAAAGAAAAUGCGUGAUUGACUUGGAAAGAAGAGUCUUUUAUGUUGCUGUGAAGUUUUUUUUUUUGAGAGUAUGUUACUGUAAAGUUUGGGGCGAAUCACCAAUAAAAGCAUUUUUUUUUCAAAAUUUACUAAAAUGGGCCAACUUUUUGAUUAUUUACCGGAAUAGGCCAUUUUCCGCGAAAUCGCGUCCACAUCAGCGCGAUGUCAGGGUACGUGCAGGACAUCGCGUCCACGUAAGCGCGAUUUGCUGACGUGGAAGGAAAUCGCGCCCUCUAAGACGCGAUUUGCUGACGUGGCAUGAACAGUGUGUUUUUAGCUUGGAAAACUUUGAAAGGCCAUAACUUUUGGCUCGGUUGUCCGAUUGAGACGAAUUUUUUUUAUUUCGAAUAAAUUUUCGAGAUCUACGCGCUGGAAAAUAGCCGAAGGCGGUUUGCUGAAGUUUUCAUCAAAAAAGAUCCUUUUUUGCCUCUAAAUUUUGAUUUUUUCGGUUUAAAAUUGAAUUUUGAAACAUUCAAAUCGUUAUUUUCCUCAUUUAUUUGAAGUAAACACCGGAUCUUUUUUUACAUAAUUGUCUUAUAUCAUCCUGUUAUAGGUAUAAGUCAACUCAUUCCACUUUUGAGAAGUUCCCUAAAAUUUUCCAUUUUAUUCAAUUUAGUCCCUAAAACCUAAAUAGUCAUAUUUUCAAAUCUAAGCUCCAUUUUUCAAUUAAAAUUCAAAUUCAUCCUUCCAUAACAUUCAAAUAUUCUUAAAUACAAAAAUUUCAUGCUAAUUUUGAAAUAAUUACACUUUAGUCCCUAUACUCGUAACUAACAAAUUAUACUUUACAAAUUAGUCCCUAUUCAUCUCUAAGCAGUUUUCCAGCACGUAGAUCUUGAAAAUUUAUUCGAAAUCAAAAAAAAUUUGCCUCAAUCGGACAACCGAGCCAAAAGUUAUGGCCUUUCAAAGUUUUCCAAGCUAAAAACACACUGUUCAUGCCACAUCAGCAAAUCGCGUCCUAGAGGGCGCGAUUUCCUUCCACGUCAGCAAAUCGCACUUACGUGGAUGCGAUGUCCUACACGUACCCUGACAUCGCGCUGACGUGGACGCGAUUUCGCGGAAAAUGGCCUAUUCUGAUAAAUAAUCAAAAAGUUGGCCCAUUUCGGUAAAGUUUGAAAAAAAAGGCUUUUAUUGGUGAAUUACCCUAAAUUUUGAUGUGAACAAAAUAUUCGGAAAUUAUGAUAGCCAUUGAAAAUUAUGAUAGGACUUUUACUUUUUUGUUUCUUUUAAAUUUUAGUUGCAGUGGGUUCUAGUUUAGAUUUAAAAGCUUUUAGAUGUUUUAUAAUAUUAUUUUUUUCAAAAUUUAUAAAUUUUAUUUAAUUUUUAGAUGAAAAUGAAGCUAUUGUGACAUUACCAAUGCUAUGUCAUGAUCUUACAAUGGGGCAAAAUACUAAAAAAAAGUCAUUUUUUUAAAUUUACCGAAAUGGGCCCGAUAUUUUAUUAUUUACCGGAAUGGGCCCUUUUCUCCUAAAGCGCGUCAAUGUCAGCGCGAAGUCAGGGGACGUGUCAGCAAAUUGCAUCCACGUCAGCGUGCUUUCCUGACGUGGACACAAAUCGCGCUUAAGUAGGCGCGAUUUGUUGCCACGUCAGCAAAGCACGCUGAAGUGGACGCGAUUUGCUGCCACGUAGUGCACCCCUGGGGACGCGUUUUCCCCGUUUUUCCCAUAUUAGGUUUUUGGUUUUUAGGGUUAGGGUUUAGGAUUUUUAGGAUUUUUAGGGUUUUAGAGAAAAAAGUAAACAAAUAAGGGAUUAGGAUUUAGGGUUUCCUAAUUAAAUUAAGUAUAAUUUAUUCAAAAUUGGAUUACAUUUCGUGUUUAUGGGUUUUAAGAUAAAAUCAAAGCAGGAUGCUUUAUCAGAAGAAUUUCUGAAGUCAUGCCCACAUGUACGCGCUUUUGCUACAGUAGGUCCUGCAAAAAUAAUUUCAAGUUGACGUUUCUGAGUAAAUAGUAUAAAAAACGCUCUAAGCAGAAUGCUUUAUGAAAAGAAUUUGUGAAAUCGUGCCCUCGUGGACGCACUUUUGCUACAAUAGGUCUUGGAAAAAAUAAUUUUGAGUUGACGUUUCUGAGGAAAUAAUAUAAAAACGCUUCAAGCAGGAUGCUUUAUCAGAAGAAUUUGUGAAAUCGCGCCCACGUGGACGCGCUUUUGCUACUAUAGCAUGUCUGGGCUGAGGCUAUAAAUGAGGCAAAAAAUGUUCUCAGAAUGCAUAAGUUACAGCAGAAACAAUUUAGAGAGGCUAAGAAGGUUAGAGUUUCAAAUAUGAGUGAACAUAUUAGUGCUGUUAUUUACUAUGACGGUGAGGUUUGCCACAUCGAGAAUUAUGUUAUUUUUUUGUUGGAGAAUACAGUGCGACUGGUUUUUAACCAAAGCUUAGAUUUGACAGAACUUCGUAAAAGAAUAAGGCGUAAAAUUUUUGAAACGACGCCAAUGAAAGUUCUGUCUAUUACGUAUCGAUUUUGUUCUUUUGUUGAUCCAGUGACAUAUGACUUGUUCGACAUAAAAGGUGCUCGUAACUUGGAGGCAAUGGUGCAGACUCAUCUUCUUAGUGGAGCACCUUAUAUUGAGUUAUAUGUACAAUUUACAUCGCCAAAUGAUGUACUUGCGGCCGGUGUUCGAUAUGUACACACGACCCCUGGCCGACACUCGGUUAGCGGGUUACAAAACGUGGAACAACCCAUGUUUCGUAGCGGUGUGGAAUGCACAUCCCCUGUAAGACACUCUGUUAGUGGAUCCACAUCGGAGUCAUCUUCUAACCCACAAUCAUCGGUAACAUACGAGGUCCCCUCACCGAUGGUACAGAAGUUGGCUUAUUUUCUGAACCGGGGCCUAUUCCAAUAGAACCUGAAGAUGCUGAAAGGAGUUCAGAUGAAGAAUAAAAUCCACGAUUCAAAGCAUACUCACCUCCAACCCACAUGCAUAAUGUCGAUCUGUCUGCAGAUGAUGCGUUGGAGUUUUUAGAUCUACCACAUCGGUUGCGUGAUCAUACAAGUUCGGGGCUAGAUUCUGGUGAAUUUGAAGUUGGUAAUCAGUUUACCAACAAUGAUAGUUUUAUUGGUGCUUUAAAACAACAUAACAUCAAAAACGGCGUUAACUACCACGUCGUUAAAUCCAAAUCUAAUAAGUUUGAGGCGAAGUGUGCGGUGAAAGACGACACAUGUUCAUGGAAAAUCUAUGCCUCGUUAAGGAAAAGGACAGGGUUGUGGGAGAUUAAAAAGUACAAAGGUUCACAUACAUGUGCUGCAGGUACAGUAUUGACGGUUUCUGAAUAAUACUGUUAUUAUGUCAUGUUGCAUUAUUUAAUGUACUCCGUUUAUAGGUGUUUCACAAGAUCAUCCCAAGAUGGAUUCAAGUAUGUUAGCUAGCUUGAUACUACCCACGGUGAAGGCAGAUCCCAGGACUUCAGUGCUGGUCUUAAUUGCCAAUAUUCGUAGCCAAAUAGGGUACACGCCCUCUAUCAUUAAUUUUAUCUUCUAGGUUUUUUACUUGUUUUCUAUUUUCUUAUUGAAAAUCAUUUAUUAAUUUUAUGGUUUGCUUUUUACCACUUUUGGAAGUUCGUUAGUUCUUUUCUGUAACAACCCAAUUUUGAUCUUAAUCGGACAAAGUGGUUUUGGGACCAUAAAUCCGAGUCAAAAAAUAUUUUAAAAUUAUUUUUGAUAUUUUCAGUAUGUGAAUUAAUAUGUGUGAAAAUUUCAUAUAAAAAUUUGAUCGUUUGAGUGUUCAAUUUGAUAAAAAGGGCUUAAUCGCGUAAAAUAAAAACUCGGGGAUUUAAUUUAAAAGCAUCUAAUUGUUGUUUUCUUUUAAAUUAGGAGGUUUAAAGCUGCAAUUUGACCACUAUUUAGAUAAUGUGUGGCUAAGGUCAAAACUAACCUUAAUAUAUAUAUGUUAUAAUUAUUUUAAUAAGGUUAAAUUAAUAAAUUAUUAAUUAUGAUAAUACAUAAUAGUUAAAAACAUAAUUUUAUAGCAUAUAUCAUCUUCCUAGAAAAAACUUCGAUGAAAGAAAAGCCAUUAAAGCUUGAAGAAGGUUUCGCCAUGUCUUUCCAUAAUUAAAGGUUCGUUUUUGUUCAAUUUUUGAAAAUUUUUAUGUUUUUGAGAUCGUUGCUUUGUGUACUACAAGACCCAUACCUUAAUUUUAGAAUUUGGUGUUAAUUUUGUGAUAUGCCAUUGAUGAAUGCUUGAGAUUUUUGUUAGUUAAUGAUGAAAUAUGAAAUAUAUGUGAAAGAUUAACAUGUUUUGUAUUUGAAUUUUUGGUGAAAUUGAGUAAUUAGGGCUAAAUUGUGAAAUUAAAUUUUUGAGGGACUAAAAUGUGAAAUAAAUGAAAUAUGUGAACUUGUAUGAGCACUAGGGAUAUUCGGCCCUUUUAUAGUGUGGGCAAAUUUUGUGUAUUUUGUGUUUAUGCAAUAGGGACUAAAUUGCAAAAAGUGUAAAUGUUAAGGGUAAAAUGGUAAUUUGCCCAAUUAUGUGUUUUUGGACUAAAUUGAAUGAAAUAAUAUUUAAACUAGUUCAUUUUGAAUAUAUUUAUAUCAAGAACCAAAGAAAUCGGAGUUGGAUCGGGGAAAAGCUAAAGUCGUCGACUAAUCGUCCGGUUCCGAUUUUUCACUGUCCGAGAUUUAAAGAUCAAGCUUCAAGCUCGAGGAUUGUCAGCAAAGAUAAUCACUCUAUCUACUGUCUCGGUAUUAAAAUGUUUGAAUUUUAACUUAGGGCAUGUACAGGCUAGAUAAUGUUAUAAGAGCGUGCUUUAAUGUUUUGUAAAUGAGUUUCAUAGCCAGCGAAAAUGGCUUAUUUCCUUAUAGUCUAGUUGGAUUGUAAUGUUUUCAUUUUGUUUUAAAUGACUAAAAGAAAAGCUUAAAAUUUCGCAUGUUUGAUUUUAAACCUAGCUUAUCUAAUGUAACUUUUAUAAUUAUUGAACUUUAAUGAAUGUUUGUUUUAAGUUGUAUUUUGAUUAGUAAUACCUUUUAACCCUAAUUCGGCGACGGAUACGGGUUAGGGAUGUUACAUUUUAUGUCUUUCUUAGAUGGAAAUUUAUUAGCUUUGUUUAAAGUCUUUCCUGUCCUUUUAGUUAAAUAUUCUAAUUGUGCUUUUAUAAAUCCUUGAUUAUUUAUUAUUUUUUGUAAUAAAUUUAUUUUUAAUGAAUUAUUAGAAGAUAAUUUUUGUCGUGUUAUAUAUGUUUUAGAUCUUGAAUUAUUUUUUUAUCAAUGUUAUAUAAAUUUUCUAAAGAUUAAUUAUUAAGUCUACAAUGGUAUUUACUUGUUUAUUUUUUUGGGUUUCGUUAAUAUUAUGUCAAAUGUGAGUAUAGUGUCUAUUUCCUUUUCUUUUAAAAUUACAUUUUAUUUGAUUUUUAUUAUUAUAAACAAGUUCUUUAUGAAUGCUUGUUAUAUCAAGAUCUAAAUAAUAAAGGCGUCUAUCAGCUUCGUUAGGAUUUAUACCCCCUAUGGUUGCUAGUCAAAUUUUAACCCAACACUGAUAUUCUAGUGACCACAGAUAGGUUUUAUCUUAAUUAGGGUUACACACUGUGGUAGGAAUUGACUCCUCUUUAAGAAGAGUGUGUAACUUAAGUAUUCAAAGUUUCCAAUGACUAUCUCUCCUACAAGAAACUAAUCGUACGCUCUAAUACCAGAAAUAGCAGGGGUCUAAAGAAUAGUCGAUGUUUAGAAUACUUCGGAUUUUCCAAAUCAAAAUUUCUCUGCAAGAAAAGAGCAUACACACUGUAAAUCAUACCUCAAGACAGUUGGUUUUGCUUGAAAUAUUAGGGGUCCAAAGAAUGGUCGGUGUUUACAAUGCUAUUGAUUUUCCAGAUUGAAAUUUAUCCGCAAGAAAAGAGCAUACACACUAUAAAUCGUACCUCAAGAAAGUUGGUUCUGCAGAAAGAAAGUUAUACUUAAUAAGCUUAUGGCUAAAUUCUCCAAGUCGUUGUCCAGAUAUAAGAGCCACAAUCUCGUGAGAGCCUGCUCUUUCUACUUCACCGUCACGCCCUCUCUUGGCUAUGGUUACUAAAUUGAGACCUUACACUUCUCUCUCUAUAUCUCAAACCAAGAAAACAUUUGAAGAAAAAAAAGAUUAAAUUUUUAUAACUUCAAAAGAAAUUACAAACCUCGAGUAGUAAUAAAUAUGUUUUGCUCUCUCUUUCUAUCUAUUCCCUAAUAAGAGACAUUUGAGUUCCUUAUAUAAAGGCUCGAGUGCUUCAUUGGGCCCCAUCGACUGCCUAGAUACAAGUCACGAGAGUCUUCUUUUACAAUAAAUGAUAAAAAUGGGUAGUCGCGUGCUUCCUAAAGGUGUUUUUCCUGAAAAAUAAAAAUUAAAAAUAUAUAGAUAAGAUGCUUUUAGCUGAGCAUAUGUAGCUUUUAUGUCGUGACACUCUUUACAUUUCAACGGAGAGCAUAUAUUGUUUUAGGGCUCCAUCUUGAUAUUUUUCGCCUUGGGCUUCUGAAAUUGUUGGGCUCUUUAGGCUUUUUUCUAUAAUCUUAGCUCUGCAUGCCAUGUCGAGCCACCAUUGAUCCCAUCCUUCAGAAGGCCUUUCAUCAAGCUAGUUUAGCCCAUUUAUAACGGUGGACAAGUCUUGUUGGAUUUCUGAGAGUUUUUCUAUUAUCCUUUUUAGUUGUGGGUUGUUCGGCAGUUGCCCCUGCGUAUGAAAUCAUAUCUUCUUCAUUCUUGGCCACCUUUUGGAGAUCUUCCAUUCUUUUUAUUAGUUCUAUAUUUCUAACUUGCUCAGUCUGGAGUUGUUUUCCUAGAAGGAGUUUCUGUUCUUUAUGCUUGAUAAUCGGCUCUCGAAGAGCUGCCUUUUCUGCUACAAUUUCUAUUUCUAGAUGAGGAUUUUCAUGUGUUUCUGCCCAUUUCGUCUUGAGUUUUUCUAAUACAUUGUAUUUAUGUCCGAGGUAUAUCUGGGCAUCUUUGUAUGUUGCUGACAGAGAGCUAUAUAUAUAUAUAUAUUGGGUUUUUCUGAGAUUUUGUAUAAUGGAUAAUUUUAGUCCAUUCUUUGUAUAUCCGCUUAUUAUCUCCUGUAAACAGGAUAUAACAUAUCUCGUUAUUAUGGAUAUGGAGAUAUAGGGAGAGUCCAUUAAGACAGGCUAUCUGAUGUUUAAUAUCUCCCCGUUUAUAGGCUAAUAAGUAUUCUUUCUGCAGAUGUCAUGAUCGUAUUCUCCGCCAAGUUGAAUUUUUGACCAGAGCCGUUAUAAUCUGUGAAGGAAAGUUUACCCGAAAGCAUAAGUGGCUUUCCUGUAGGCUUCUAGAGAUUUUUUGCUCCUUCUGGAUAUUCUUUUGAGGGUGUAUGAGGAAUUGUUGUAGAUUUUGGUGGAGAAGAUUCAAGGAAUCUUUCUUGUCUUCAAGUGGUCAUUCUGGAAUUAAAAUCCAUUAGUAAUUUUUCCUCAAAUUGUAGUAGUCUAGGUAAUAUAUCUGCGAUUUUAUUAUUUUCUCCUGAAAUGUGUUCUACAUGGGGUUUUAAUCUCUUUCUAGUAUGUAACUUGUUAGAUUAUGC
rnacentral:lncRNA from 1 species